ACUCCUUUACCCCCUCUCUUCCCUGCAGCAGGGAGUGAUGCAUUGUGGGAAACUCCCAGGUUUGUCCCUGCAGAGCAUCCUCUGAGCUGCAAGGCGGAAGAAGCAAAGAGAUUAUUUUGGACAACCUGCUGUGAAUAUAAUAUCAGCAUAAGAAAAUAUAUUACAGUCAGACUGAUUUUUCUAAAAAAAACUCAAGAGUAUUUUAACAUCACACCUUAGAGGCCCAGGUAGAAUUCAUAAUGGAGGCCAAAUCUAGAUCUACCAGCUCUAAGGCCUCUAAAACUGAGAAGGGUGGCUCAGCAGCAGCAGAGAAGAAAGACACCUCAACCAAAGAGCAACAUAAUCCCUCAGCAAAGAAGAUGACAGCAGAGAGCAUCCCAGCCAAUCAAGAUGGCACAAAGCCUGUGGCAGCUGAACCUCAGGUGCCACCAGCGGCUUCAGAAGACAAGGGGAACGCAGAAGAGCAGGAUACAUCUAAUGGCACGGGUGAAGGCUCAGGGUUUGAAGGCCUGAAGCCUCUGCUGGUGGCUGCCGGUGUGACAGUGGCUGCCCUUGCAGUAAUCGUAGGUGUUGUGUUUCUGGCCCGGAAAAAAUAACAUGUUUGAAAUUUUCAAGGGAAGUUCAAGUAGGGAGGUCCGAACAAGGACCAACAUGUACAGUUUCUCCAAAGGCUGCUGCAUGUCGCAGAAUUGUCACAUAUCCAUCACAUGCAGUCACACAGAUAUCUGGGAGGAGGUGGAUCUGAAAGCAGACAAGGGACCGCUGGCGGAUGCCAUACUGAUUUCAGAAAGGUUCCUUGUCAUUUGUCAUCACUAAUAAUACACUGUAUUUAACAAGUCUGUAGUAUAAGUCAUCUUACUUUGCACCAUUCAGCUAUAGUAAUGUUUCACGCCAACUCCUAUGGAUUGUACAGGGGAAUCUCGUAUAAUUGUCCCUCUAAAUUGCUAUUGAAUCUCCUAAGUGAAAUGUACCUCUGCUUUGUAAGCCAACUCUCUCUGUAAAUCUGUCUUCAUUCGAAUUCCAGUGGUUAUCCUCUCCCAAUGCCUUCACUGCUACAUUGCCUUGCCACAUACCGCAAAAUCCUUACCAUUUGAUGUAAGCAAUGGUUGCCUCUUCAAACCACCACACUGCAUUAGGCUUUUCCCAAGCCAGUGUGUGAUUAUUUGGGUGCCAAAAUGCAUCUACGUGGCUUAGAGCAGACAGCAAAUAUAAUUUAGCUCUACCAAAAGUAUCGAGGAGCAUUAAAGCGUUAGUGAUCACAGGAUGUUUAAGUAUUUAUCCCCAGAAUGUUACUCAAAUUCCUGAAUAGCUCAGCUACUACAGCAUUUACACUAUCAUUUUACAGGUUAAUGGGACCCUAGCAAGUAUUUGCUGAGGAAUCUUUUCUAGGGAUUUAUGAAGACUCCUAGAAUACAGUUGAAGCUAUAGAUGGUAGCCGAACCCAAAAAAGUAAAAUCCAAAAGUAAAACCAAAAGAUGAAUAGAGAAACCCUCUUAUCAACAAACAUUUGAGGGUUCAGCUAAGUAGUGGUUUGUAGAGGAAGGAGGCUAAAGCCCAAUAUGAGACAUUUCAUAAUACUUCCAAUGUGUCCAAUAUAUCCCUCUUUAUUUUCUUACCAUUAAACAUUUCAUCUCACUAUUUGUCCCUUUAACAGUAAAAUCUCUCUACUCCACUUUUAAUAACUCAUUGGAAAACCAAAAUGGUCCUCAUAGAUGCUCAUGGUAUUUUAAUACAAGAACAUUUUUUACACUUAUCAGAUAAAUUGACAUUUUUGAGGGACAACACUUAUGAGAUUUUAAAAUUAAUUUUGCUAUCCUGCAUUAAUAAUGCCAUCAAUACUGACAAUAAUGAUAAUUAUGACACUGUUCCUUGACACCCUACCGUGUUUGUUUCUCCUAAAAUACUGAAAGCGUAUAAAUGCAAUAAUGCAGUUAGAAUAGGAUAAUACGAGAAGAUUAAGGCCUCUAUUUUUAAGGUAUUCCUAAUAAAAGCUGCCUGCACUUAAACCCCAUUAAAGGAAAACUAUAAUUAAGAUAAAAGUUACCUCUCUAUUUUAAUAAAUGAUUGUAUAUGGUGUUGAAGGGAAAUCACUUGUAGCUCUUGUAAAGGCUAUAGAUUAUCAAGAGCAAAACAAUAGAAAGAUACACUCAAUGGGCUUUUAAUACUGUGGAAAGUUUCUUUACUGGUUGAAAGAAUAUGGACACACCAGGGAGUUAUGUACUUUGGGGGUAAUAACAGGUACUUCAGUUAUAGUAACCAGGCCCAGACUGGCAAUCUGUGGAUUCUUGGAAAUGCCAGAGGGGCUGCUGUAAGAUGCCAUAGACAGUCACUAUUUAUUGGGCUGGUGGGAGGCUGUUUGGGCCUUUGUGUACUUGGAAUUCCAGGGCCUAUUUUGAUUCCCAGCCCAAGCCUGGUAGUAACCCAUGGCAACCACUAUGACUAAAAAGUAAGCAUCUGCAUGGCUGCUAUGAGUUACUAGUCCUUGUGGGGAAACGUUGUGCCUGUUAUUAUAUUACCCUCAAUAACCUUGCUUUAAGCAAAAUUGAUAUCUUCUACAAAUCAGUGAUGUCAGUGCUUUGCGCUACUAAGAACUGUUAACGUUUCUGUAUAUUUUUGUAACUGUUACAGAAUUCUGUGUCAAAUAUUAAAAGUUUGUAUUUUGAAUAUAAUUUUUAAGGGAAAUAUGCCAUUUAUAUAAGUAGUUUUUAUCUUUCCUUCAUUUUGGCCUUAACUGUAAGCUGUGAGGCCAUUGCAUCCCCUUCAUCCAUGCUUAUUUGUAUCUCUGCAAAAAAUUGAGCUGCCAUAUUGAUCUUUGGCAUAUUGAUUUCUGAAACAUUUUUUAUAGGGAUCAAAUGAAAUGCAACAGCUAAGGCAAGAAAUGUAGCAGGUCCCACUUCCACGUAUAAAAGCAAAUAUGUCCAGUAGGAACAGUCUAUGAGACAAAAAUGAGUAAUUUAAAGAUAAAGACUACUUAUACAGGGUUUAUUUUCCUUUUAUAGACAGCAGUCAAAAGCUGGGUGCAGAUUUUUUAUCUAAAGACUGCAGAAAAAUAUGGGCCUGUAUCUUUAAAGUAGAGUUAGCUUUUCCCAUCACAGGCAGACAUGGAGACUCUAAUCUCCAUUCUCAGCGGCAAACCAGCCACCAUUAUAGACACCGCCCUUCUGAUAGCUGCAUCUGGUGUUUGUGUCAAUGUGUGCUUUACAAGGGGAAAAAAUUAACAGAGAUGCCACCAGCCAUAUUUCUAAAAUAUUUUUUUUUUGUAGGAGGGGCAGGAUCAUAGAAAUGUCUUUAUAACAGUUUUUAAGAUACUGGUUAAGCUCUGCCAUCUUUGUUCUGUGAAUACAAACCACAAUGUCCAAUAGAAACAUAUGAGUGCAGCUGUUAAAAAGACGUUGACUAUGUUUUUCAGUGUAGGCGGAGGCUAUAUAUUUACUCAAAAAUGCAUAUAGCAUAUAAGAAACCAGCACAACAUAAAGUUAAAAUAGUAUUUUAAUUUCUUACUGUGCCUAGGUGCCAUCAAACUCAAACCCUAGUCCUACCUAAUUUUCCACUUGCAUACGCGUAGGAGCUCCCAUAUUGGCACCAACAGAUGAAGUCUUAGAGAAAGUAUGGAGUGAAAUCAGUUUGCAGAAUAUGGUAAUAUGUCGUUCUUGCUGGUGGAACCUUUCCAUGCGGCCAUGUAUUCACCUCACUGCAGAUUCUUAAUGGAGUCCAGAGCACCCUACGUUCAGAGCAAAAGUGGAAAUAAAUGAAAAUUACAUUUAGUGCCUUUGGUUCUGGGGCAAUGUACAAAGACAAACCCAAAUCUUCCAUAUACACUCAACUGAUAUUUUCAGUUUGCACCUCUGUUAAUCUUUUCUCAGUCUUGUACGUGUCCUUUCCUCAUAAGAAACUGUGUGACUGCGAUGCGUGAAACUGAUCCCCACUUCAGACUUUUAGCAGGAAUGUGUGGCCAUAAACAUGUAUCUAAUAAAGUCUUAAAUACUUCA